rnacentral:rRNA from 1 species
UACGAAGGGGGCUAGCGUUACUCGGAAUUACUGGGCGUAAAGGGCGCGUAGGCGGCGCUCCAAGUUAGGCGUGAAAGUCCUGGGCUCAACCUGGGAACUGCGCUUGAUACUGGAGUGCUUGAGGAUGGAAGAGGGUCGUGGAAUUCCCAGUGUAGAGGUGAAAUUCGUAGAUAUUGGGAAGAACACCGGUGGCGAAGGCGGCGAUCUGGGUCGAUACUGACGCUGAGGAGCGAAAGCGUGGGGAGCGAACAGG